UACGUAGGGUGCAAGCGUUGUCCGGAAUUAUUGGGCGUAAAGAGCUUGUAGGCGGUUUGUCGCGUCUGCUGUGAAAUUUCGGGGCUCAACCCCGAACUUGCAGUGGGUACGGGCAGACUAGAGUGUGGUAGGGGAGACUGGAAUUCCUGGUGUAGCGGUGAAAUGCGUAGAUAUCGAGAGGAACACCUGCGGCGAAGGCGGGUUGCUGGGCUGACACUGACGCUGAAGCGCGAAAGCUAGGGGAGCGAACGGG
rnacentral:rRNA from 1 species